GACGAACGCUGGCGGCGUGCUUAACACAUGCAAGUCGAACGCUGAAGACCUGGCUUUUGUUGGGUUGGAUGAGUGGCGAACGGGUGAGUAACACGUGAGUAACCUGCCCUCUUCUUUGGGAUAACGCCCGGAAACGGGUGCUAAUACUGGAUAUUCACUGGCCUUCGCAUGGGGGUUGGUGGAAAGGUUUGUUCUGGUGGGGGAUGGGCUCGCGGCCUAUCAGCUUGUUGGUGGGGUGAUGGCCUACCAAGGCUUUGACGGGUAGCCGGCCUGAGAGGGUGACCGGUCACAUUGGGACUGAGAUACGGCCCAGACUCCUACGGGAGGCAGCAGUGGGGAAUAUUGCACAAUGGGCGAAAGCCUGAUGCAGCGACGCCGCGUGAGGGAUGGAGGCCUUCGGGUUGUAAACCUCUUUCGCUCAUGGUCAAGCCGCAACUGUGGGUUGUGGUGAGGGUAGUGGGUAAAGAAGCGCCGGCUAACUACGU
rnacentral:rRNA from 1 species